AACGAACGCUGGCGGCAUGCCUAACACAUGCAAGUCGAACGAGACCUUCGGGUCUAGUGGCGCACGGGUGCGUAACGCGUGGGAACCUGCCCUUAGGUUCGGCCUACCUCCCCGAAAGGGGUGCUAAUACCGGAUAAUGUCUUCGGACCAAAGAUUUAUCGCCUUUGGAUGGGCCCGCGUUGGAUUAGCUAGUUGGUAGGGUAAAAGCCUACCAAGGCGACGAUCCAUAGCUGGUCUGAGAGGAUGAUCAGCCACACUGGGACUGAGACACGGCCCAGACUCCUACGGGAGGCAGCAGUGGGGAAUAUUGGACAAUGGGCGAAAGCCUGAUCCAGCAAUGCCGCGUGAGUGAUGAAGGCCUUAGGGUUGUAAAGCUCUUUUACCCGGGAUGAUAAUGACAGUACCGGGAGAAUAAGCUCCGGCUAACUCCGU
rnacentral:rRNA from 1 species